rnacentral:rRNA from 1 species
UGGGGAAUAUUGGACAAUGGGCGGAAGCCUGAUCCAGCAACGCCGCGUGAGGGAUGACGGCCUUCGGGUUGUAAACCUCUUUCAGUACCGACGAAGCGGAAGUGACGGUAGGUACAGAAGAAGCACCGGCCAACUACGUGCCAGCAGCCGCGGUAAUACGUAGGGUGCGAGCGUUGUCCGGAAUUAUUGGGCGUAAAGGGCUCGUAGGCGGUUUGUCGCGUCGGGAGUGAAAACACUGGGCUUAACUCAGUGCUUGCUUCCGAUACGGGCAGACUAGAGGCAUGCAGGGGAGAACGGAAUUCCUGGUGUAGCGGUGAAAUGCGCAGAUAUCAGGAGGAACACCGGUGGCGAAGGCGGUUCUCUGGGCAUGUCCUGACGCUGAGGAGCGAAAGUGUGGGGAGCGAAC